rnacentral:rRNA from 1 species
AGAGUUUGAUCAUGGCUCAGGACGAACGCUGGCGGCGUGCCUAAUACAUGCAAGUCGAACGAACAUAGCAAUAUGUUAGUGGCGAACGGGUGAGUAACACGUAAGUGACCUAGCUAUUAGACGAGGAUAACUACUGGAAACGGUAGAUAAGACUGGAUAGGAUAGAAAUAUUUAAAAGUCCUAAGGGACUGCUAAUAGAGGGGCUUGCGGCGCAUUAGCUAGUUGGUGGGGUAAGAGCCUACCAAGGCGACGAUGCGUAGCCGACCUGAGAGGGUGAACGGCCACACUGGGACUGAGACACGGCCCAGACUCCUACGGGAGGCAGCAGUAGGGAAUCUUCGGCAAUGGACGAAAGUCUGACCGAGCAACGCCGCGUGAGUGAAGAAGGUCUUCGGAUUGUAAAGCUCUGUUAUUAGGGAAGAAAGAAGCUAUUAGGGAAUGAGUAGCAAGUGACGGUACCUAAUGAGGAAGCCACGGCUAACUACGUGCCAGCAGCCGCGGUAAUACGUAGGUGGCAAGCGUUGUCCGGAAUUAUUGGGCGUAAAGAGUGCGUAGGCGGUCUAUUAAGUCAUAUUUGAAAGCCCAUGGCUUAACCAUGGAGGGUGAUAUGAAACUGAAAGACUUGAGUACAGGAGAGGAAGGUGGAAUUCCACGUGUAGCGGUGAAAUGCGUAGAUAUGUGGAGGAACACCAGUGGCGAAGGCGGCCUUCUGGCCUGUGUCUGACGCUGAGGCACGAAAGCGUGGGUAGCAAACAGGAUUAGAUACCCUAGUAGUCC